GUGCUCGCUUCAGCAGCACGUAUACUAAAGUU
rnacentral:snRNA from 1 species